CCUACGGGAGGCAGCAGUGGGGAAUUUUGGACAAUGGGCGCAAGCCUGAUCCAGCAAUGCCGCGUGAGUGAAGAAGGCCUUCGGGUUGUAAAGCUCUUUUGUCAGGGAAGAAACGGUGAAGGCUAAUAUCCUUUGCUAAUGACGGUACCUGAAGAAUAAGCACCGGCUAACUACGUGCCAGCAGCCGCGGUAAUACGUAGGGUGCAAGCGUUAAUCGGAAUUACUGGGCGUAAAGCGUGCGCAGGCGGUUUUGUAAGUUUGUCGUGAAAUCCCCGGGCUCAACCUGGGAAUGGCGAUGAAGACUGCAGGGCUAGAAUCUGGCAGAGGGGGGUAGAAUUCCACGUGUAGCAGUGAAAUGCGUAGAGAUGUGGAGGAACACCGAUGGCGAAGGCAGCCCCCUGGGUCAAGAUUGACGCUCAUGCACGAAAGCGUGGGGAGCAAACAGGAUUAGAUACCCUGGUAGUCCACGCCCUAAACGAUGUCUACUAGUUGUCGGGUUUUAAUUAACUUGGUAACGCAGCUAACGCGUGAAGUAGACCGCCUGGGGGAGGUACGGUCGCGAGAAGUUAAACGUACUUAAAUUAGUAAGUUAGUUAGGCGUUGAGACGUGCCGACGGACGACGACGAGGGAGGAGG
rnacentral:rRNA from 1 species